ensembl:lncRNA
CAGGAAGUAAGUCUGGAAUUACAUAGGUUAGUACAGGAAGUAAAGUCUGGAAUUACAUAGGUUAGUACAGGAAGUAAAGUCUGGAAUUACGUAGGCUAGUACAGGAAGUAGUCUGGAAUUACAUAGGUUAGUACAGGAAGUAAGUCUGGAAUUACGUAGGUUAGUACAGGAAGUAAGUCUGGAAUUACAUAGGUUAGUACAGGAAGUAAAGUCUGGAAUUACAUAGGCUAGUACAGGAAGUAAAGUCUGGAAUUACGUAGGCUAGUACAGGAAGUAAGUCUGGAAUUACGUAGGCUAGUACAGGAAGUAGUCUGGAAUUACGUAGGUUAGUACAGGAAGUAAAGUCUGGAAUUACGUAGGCUAGUACAGGAAGUAGUCUGGAAUUACGUAGGCUAGUACAGGAAGUAGUCUGGAAUUACGUAGGUUAGUACAGGAAGUAAAGUCUGGAAUUACAUAGGUUAGUACAGGAAGUAAGUCUGGAAUUACGUAGGUUAGUACAGGAAGUAAGUCUGGAAUUACGUAGGCUAGUACAGGAAGUAAAGUCUGGAAUUACGUAGGCUAGUACAGGAAGUAAGUCUGGAAUUACGUAGGCUAGUACAGGAAGUAAGUCUGGAAUUACGUAGGCUAGUACAGGAGGUAAAGUCUGGAAUUACGUAGGUUAGUACAGGAAGUAAAGUCUGGAAUUACGUAGGCUAGUACAGGAAGUAAAGUCUGGAAUUACGUAGGCUAGUACAGGAAGUAAAGUCUGGAAUUACGUAGGCUAGUACAGGAAGUAAGUCUGGAAUUACGUAGGCUAGUACAGGAAGUAAGUCUGGAAUUACGUAGGCUAGUACAGGAAGUAAGUCUGGAAUUACGUAAGCUAGUACGUAGGUUAGUUUCAGCUGUUAAGAAUCAGUUCCUUCUUUUGGGAGUCUCUGUUGUGCGCUUUGAUUUUUGAAACCUUUUCAGACUUUUUACAUUCACAAACAGCUCUAUAGCACACUACAUGAAAGGUAGUAUUUGAAAAAAUAUUAUAGGUGCAACUUUAAGCAUUGAAAAACAUAUUUUUUUUCUCUGUGAAACAGGUGCACCAUGGUACACACUUUUUUGAUGUGUAAUAUCUCCAGUAUGCUUUUUUUGGUCAUCUCCUGCUAUAGUCCACUCCAUCCAUAACCUCCCUCUCUCACUCCCAAUCUUAUAUAUAAGUAUAUAUUACAACACCAGUGAUUCUGUACAUAUACACGGUCUGCACUUACACUUUCCUUUUGUUUCCUAUAUUGGCUUUAUAUUGCUGUGGUUUCAUCUCAGCACAGGUUUAGUGUGUAAAGCUCGACUAGGACCUAAAUUACACAAGGGCUGUUAAAUGAUUAUUUUAUGAGUAAGAAUAAGAGUUUUUUAAGCCAAUGUGGUCUUUGAAGACAAAAGAGUGUUGUGUUACCUCAGAGACGUUGGGCUGAGUACAUAACCAGCAUUCAGAAAAACAGUUUUGCACUGUUGGAAGUGGAUAUUUUUGUGAGAUUUAGAAGGUAAACUAGUGUAGUUUAAGACAGUUGCCUCCAAGGCUUUAAUUGUAAGUGAUGACUGGUGAGAGCAUCGGUGGUGGACAUUAAAUUUGACUUUAUAUCAUUGUAAAUGUGAGUAUCACAGUGCUGAACCAAGUCAUGUUGAUGUCUUAAUGGCAGCAUAUAUAGGUUGGGUCACAAGCUUGGUCCUAGGAUGACUACAGCCAUGAGAUUUAGGCUACGUCCACAUUAAUCCAGAUCAAUUUGAAAAUGCAUCCUUUUCUGUACGUUUUGGCCUUCUGUUCACACUGAGACUCAGUUUU